CACUCCUCGGGGACACCUCGUUCCUUCUGGAAAAGUGUUGUUAUUAUUACUAUUAUGAGACAAAUUGGAGUUCAACUUAAUUGGACACAUUACAAAACAGCUGGGGAAGUGAAGAAAGAAAGCAACACCAGGCAUGUGGAAAGCAGUUAUACAACAUUUGGCAACAAAGUUUUGAAACAGCUCUGCAUGUGAGCCUGCAAAGCUUGUGCAAGUUCCUGCAUCUUCCUUUCAAUGCUUCAUUGGGCCUACAUUCCUGAACUGCUGCAUUCUACUGUUGCUGCUGCUGAUUGUUUCUCCAGCUUCCUGAUCUGCACAACUCCUGAAGUGUGAACCUGGAGGCAUAGGGCCCAUGACAUUUCACAACUGACGGUCAUCGUUCCACUCUCUUCUGUACUCAGCAGACUCACUUAGAAUACUGAAGGAAGCACUGGUGCAGCAAGAGAGCGGCUGAACAGACCAUCCCAACUAGCUGCACUGGUGUAGUGGAGAAGUGGCAAUUUUUGACAACGUUCCCUUAUUCAAGAAGCCCUCUCUGUCACCCCCCAAAUAUGUCCUUGAUAGUUGCACCUAUUUCCAGGUAGUUUAGGGAGAUUUCAGGAGAAGUGGGGGUUGUCAAGAACAAUUCCUGGGGAAUCGCGGGAGAGGGGAGUCCCGAUUUCCAGUGCCCCAAGGAAAGUGGGGUCACUGUUUGGGGGCACAAGCAAGGGUGCACAUGUACACAUGGGCUGGCAGGGAGCAAAAUUUGACAGCUACUUGGCAGCAGUUUCCAAGACAGGGAGAGCAGUUGCCGGGGUACCCAUCCCAGCAGCUUUCCUGUAAAGCUCAACCUGGCUCGAUAGAGAGACCCCAUGGUCUGACACUCUCAUGAGAGAGGGGUCCGUGGAGAAGGGGUUGUUUUGUCUUCACACAUUAUUUGUGAUUCUGCCCGACAUCCCUAUCCCCACAGAUGGUUCUUCUCCUGAAUGAGCAGUCUGCUUGGGAUCACCUUCCACUGUCAUCAAAUAUGUCAAAUCGCCCCUUUCACUGGGGCAAUGAUGAUCCUGCUGCCCGACGCUUCUCAUGAGUAAGCCUAGGAAUUGCACAGGUACCCCCCAAGGGGAAGGGGCUGGGUCCCCCUUCCCCAAGUUUUCUGUGAAAAUAAAUAAAAUUU